rnacentral:snRNA from 1 species
CCACGAAUAUAAGGAAUUGAAGG